rnacentral:rRNA from 1 species
UACGGGGCGCAGCAGGCGCGAAAACUGCACAAUGUGGGAAACCACGAUGCGGGAAACCCAAGUGCCAGCGCUAUGCGUUGGCUGUCCUCCAGUGUUCGUAACUGGGGAAGAAAGUGCUGGGUAAGACGGGUGCCAGCCGCCGCGGUAAUACCCGCAGCACAAGUGGUGGUCAUUAUUAUUGGGCCUAAAGCGUCCGUAGCUGGCCUGUUAGAUGCCUGGGUAAAUCGAUGCGCUCAACGUAUCGAACUCCGGGUAGACCGGCAGGCUUGGGACCGGGAGAGAUGUGAGCUACUCGAGGGGUAGGGGUAAAAUCCUGUAAUCCUUCGGGGAGGACCAGUGGCGAAGGCGUCACAUUAGAACGGCUCCGACAGUGAGGGACGAAGCCCUGGGGCGCAAACCGGAUUAGAUACCCGGGUAGUCCAGGGUGUAAACGCUGCAGACUUGGUGUCGGUGAUCCUACGAGGGUUGCCGGUGCCGUAGAGAAGUUGUUUAGUCUGCCGCCUGGGGAGUACGGUCGCAAGACUGAAACUUAAAGGAAUUGGCGGGGGAGC